GACUGAGCAACUAAACCUACCUACCUAUCCCCAUCCAUAAGGGUUAUGGCGGAGGGCCAUAUGGCUGGUGCACAAUACUGCCAAGUGUUACUUGGAAAGAAGGCAGCAGAGGACUUUCCUGAAGCAGGUGCAGUGAGGGGCAUGGCUCAUCUCCCCAAGCUUGCUUACCUUCAGACCUGGGAAUUCUCUACUCCUGCGGGGCAUCAGAGAAACCAGAUGUAUCCCCUUGAAUAUUUAUGGUCGCACAGCUUCUUCCAUGAAUAAUUCAUCCCACACAGCACUGUCUACCCAUCAGCAAGGCUGCCCAGGCGAGGAGCAGGAACAGAAAGGCUCAUUCCUCCCCUCCCUGGAAGUCCCAGCGCCUGAAGCAGACAGAUGGGGAGCCACACGCCUUGCUUGGAUCACCCUGUGACAGAUAAUAAAACACACUUUGUUGGAAUUUUCU